UACGGGAAACCGGAGCUAAUACCGGAUAAUAUAUUGAACCGCAUGGUUCAAUGGUGAAAGACGGUUUUGCUGUCACUUAUAGAUGGAUCCGCGCCGCAUUAGCUAGUUGGUAAGGUAACGGCUUACCAAGGCAACGAUGCGUAGCCGACCUGAGAGGGUGAUCGGCCACACUGGAACUGAGACACGGUCCAG
rnacentral:rRNA from 1 species